ACAGCACACGUCGGUUUUUAAGCUUGUGAGGAAAACACGAGUGGAAGAAAAAGUGCCGAUGGCCUUGAUCCUUCCAACACGUAGACUUGAGACUUGAGAUUUGGCAUGAAUGUCGCCUAUCGAGCAAUGUGAUGCUGCUCUCAGUGCAGCUUGAAUUUUCGGUGACAGUUCACCGAUGUAUACCGAUGAAUGGCCAUUCUGCCAUUCAUGUAUUUGCUGUACCAAUGUAGCUGCCAGCUUCUCGGGUAUCUACAAUUUUCCAUCAAAUUCAUCGCUGUCCUCUCGGCAAAAUCAAGUACCGAUGUUGAAUCGGUAAGAUUGCAGCGAACCAACUGGUCAAUCUUUUUUCCAUUUUCUCAAACAAUGAGCUAUCUCAGAUUCUAAUGAUCUGUUUGGAUGUUAAGCGGCAUGAGCUCUAUCAGAGAGCAAAAAAUGCAUUAGGGGAUUAAGAGUAAUGUUAGGAAUAAGAAGUGCUUUUCUACAAACAUUUGGGUUGAAAGACGAAGACUUUGACCGAGUAGCGAAGCGGUUCUCUCAGUAUGCCCAGGAACGCAUUUCAAAGGUCAAGCGUCAAAAAUUAGAUAAUAAAUAAAUAAAUAAUUCAUAAUACAUUUACUUUAAGUUUAAACUGACGCAUUAAAGCUGGAAUUAAUCAUU
rnacentral:sRNA from 1 species